CCUACGGGAGGCAGCAGUGAGGAAUAUUGGUCAAUGGGCGGAAGCCUGAACCAGCCAAGUCGCGUGAGGGAAUAAGGCCCUACGGGUCGUAAACCUCUUUUGCCGGGGAGCAAGUGCCGGGACGAGUCCCGGUCCGGAGAGUACCCGGAGAAAAAGCAUCGGCUAACUCCGUGCCAGCAGCCGCGGUAAUACGGAGGAUGCGAGCGUUAUCCGGAUUUAUUGGGUUUCAAGGUUGCGUAGGCGGGCUUUUAAGUCAGCGGUAAAAAUUCGGGGCUCAACCCCGUCCGGCCGUUGAAACUGGGGGCCUUGAGUGGGCGAGAAGAAGGCGGAAUGCGUGGUGUAGCGGUGAAAUGCAUAGAUAUCACGCAGAACCCCGAUUGCGAAGGCAGCCUUCCGGCGCCCUACUGACGCUGAGGCACGAAAGUGCGGGGAUCGAACAGGAUUAGAUACCCCAGUAGUC
rnacentral:rRNA from 1 species